UACGUAGGUGGCGAGCGUUGUCCGGAUUUACUGGGAGUAAAGGGAGCGUAGGCGGACUUUUAAGUGAGAUGUGAAAUACCCGGGCUCAACUUGGGUGCUGCAUUUCAAACUGGAAGUAUAGAGUGCAGGAGAGGAGAAUGGAAUUCCUAGUGUAGCGGUGAAAUGCGUAGAGAUUAGGAAGAACACCAGAGGCGAAGGCGAUUCUCUGGACUGUAACUGACGCUGAGGCUCGAAAGCGUGGGGAGCAAACAGGAUUAGAUACCCU
rnacentral:rRNA from 1 species